rnacentral:rRNA from 1 species
CGGGACACGUGGUAUCCUGUCUGAAUAUGGGGGGACCAUCCUCCAAGGCUAAAUACUCCUGACUGACCGAUAGUGAACCAGUACCGUGAGGGAAAGGCGAAAAGAACCCCGGCGAGGGGAGUGAAAAAGAACCUGAAACCGUGUACGUACAAGCAGUGGGAGCACGCUUAGGCGUGUGACUGCGUACCUUUUGUAUAAUGGGUCAGCGACUUAUAUUCUGUAGCAAGGUUAACCGAAUAGGGGAGCCGAAGGGAAACCGAGUCUUAACUGGGCGUUAAGUUGCAGGGUAUAGACCCGAAACCCGGUGAUCUAGCCAUGGGCAGGUUGAAGGUUGGGUAACACUAACUGGAGGACCGAACCGACUAAUGUUGAAAAAUUAGCGGAUGACUUGUGGCUGGGGGUGAAAGGCCAAUCAAACCGGGAGAUAGCUGGUUCUCCCCGAAAGCUAUUUAGGUAGCGCCUCGUGAAUUCAUCUCCGGGGGUAGAGCACUGUUUCGGCAAGGGGGUCAUCCCGACUUACCAACCCGAUGCAAACUGCGAAUACCGGAGAAUGUUAUCACGGGAGACACACGGCGGGUGCUAACGUCCGUCGUGAAGAGGGAAACAACCCAGACCGCCAGCUAAGGUCCCAAAGUCAUGGUUAAGUGGGAAACGAUGUGGGAAGGCCCAGACAGCCAGGAUGUUGGCUUAGAAGCAGCCAUCAUUUAAAGAAAGCGUAAUAGCUCACUGGUCGAGUCGGCCUGCGCGGAAGAUGUAACGGGGCUAAACCAUGCACCGAAGCUGCGGCAGCGACGCUUAUGCGUUGUUGGGUAGGGGAGCGUUCUGUAAGCCUGUGAAGGUGUGCUGUGAGGCAUGCUGGAGGUAUCAGAAGUGCGAAUGCUGACAUAAGUAACGAUAAAGCGGGUGAAAAGCCCGCUCGCCGGAAGACCAAGGGUUCCUGUCCAACGUUAAUCGGGGCAGGGUGAGUCGACCCCUAAGGCGAGGCCGAAAGGCGUAGUCGAUGGGAAACAGGUUAAUAUUCCUGUAC